AUUGAACGCUGGCGGCAGGCCUAACACAUGCAAGUCGAACGAGUGGCGGACGGGUGAGUAAUUUAUGGGAAACUGCCUGAUGGAGGGGGAUAACUACUGGAAACGUUAGCUAAUACCGCAUAACAUCAGAUGUGCCCAGAUGGGAUUAGCUAGUUGGUGGGGUAACGGCUCACCAAGGCGAAGAUCCCUAGCUGGUCUGAGAGGAUGACCAGCCACACUGGAACGGAGACACGGGCCAUACUCCUACGUGAGGCAGCAGGGGGGAAGAUUGCACAAUGGGCGCAAGCCUGAUGCAGCCAUGCCGCGUGUAUGAAGAAGGCCUUCGGGUUGUAAAGUACUGUCAGCGGGGAGGCGUUACCCGCAGAAGAAGCACCGGCUAACUCCGUGCCAGCAGCCGCGGUAAUAC
rnacentral:rRNA from 1 species